AGCGGCGAGUGAAGCGGCAAAAGCUCAGAUUUGAAAUCGUGUUUCGGCACGAGUUGUAGAGUGUAGGCGGGAGUCUCUGUGGAGCGCGGUGUCCAAGUCCCUUGGAACAGGGUGCCUGAGAGGGUGAGAGCCCCGUAGGGUGCUGCGCGAAGCUUUUGAGGCCCUGCUGACGAGUCGAGUUGUUUGGGAAUGCAGCUCCAAGCGGGUGGUAAAUUCCAUCUAAGGCUAAAUAUUGGCGAGAGACCGAUAGCGAACAAGUACUGUGAAGGAAAGAUGAAAAGCACUUUGAAAAGAGAGUGAAACAGCACGUGAAAUUGUUGAAAGGGAAGGGUAUUGGGCUCGACAUGGGGGGUGCGCACCGCUGUCUCUUGUAGGCGGCGCUCUGGGCGCCCUCUGGGCCAGCAUCGGUUCCUGCUGCGGGAGAAGGGGCUCCGGAAAGUGGCUCUUCGGAGUGUUAUAGCCGGGGCCAGAUGCCGCGUGUGGGGACCGAGGACUGCGGCUUCUGUCUCGGAUGCUGGCAUAACGGCGCAAUACCGC
rnacentral:rRNA from 1 species